UGGCUCUUCCAGAUCCGCGAUGCAGCUUGGGAGCAGAUGUGCCCGCCGAUCUUUUCGAUCGCGCCACUGCCAGCAACUUCAAGCCACCCUCUCAUGGUGAAGGUGUCAAAAAAGAAACGGUGCUUCUGUGCUUGGAUGAUAAGAAAUCAUUUCACGAUCUCUCCAAUGAUUCUCUCUUCACUUCACCUGUCAUCAUCAAGCCUGAGGUGCACACCCACUUCCUUUGUUAAGUGUAUCCAA